rnacentral:rRNA from 1 species
UACAGAGACCUCAAGCGUUAUCCGGAAUCAUUGGGCGUAAAGGGUGCGUAGGUGGUUGUGCAAGUCUGAUGUGAAAUCUCCGGGCUUAACCCGGAAAUGGCAUUGGAAACUGCACAGCUAGAGGUUUGGAGGGGGGACUGGAAUUCUCGGUGUAGCAGUGAAAUGCGUAGAUAUCGAGAGGAACACCAGUGGCGAAGGCGAGUCCCUGGACAACACCUGACACUGAGGCACGAAAGCUAGGGGAGCAAACAGG